AAGUAAUCAAAGUAUCGCGAGAGCGAGACGAAAUAUGAUUUCUUGAAUCAUUCUCGCGGUACUUUGACGUCAUCCGGCUGUCGGUUCUUGCGGCGCCGCAUUAAGUCAAACAAGCCUCCUGACUGCGUGCGAGAACGUUUGAAUUAUCUGGCACGAGCCCUCACACGUCAAACUUCAACUGACACAACGGUCUCGGUGGAGGUAAUAAGCAAAAGCGCCUUUAAAUUUCGUCAUUUUUUAUACACAUCCCGUUUAUUUUGUAGUUAAUUGUUAGAUAAGUUGGUAAUUUCGACAAGUUUUCGUUACAAGGUAAGAUUUCGUUAUCAUCGUUGCCAUAUAACUUAACUUACAGUAUUUAUAUUGGUUCAAGAGCGCAGUUUGAUAACUCAUUCGAGCCUUUAAACAUCUAAACAUGUCCUCCAAAAAGGAAAAAGGGAAAAACAUUGGAAAACAAUUUCAGCCUAAGGUUUCCUGUGCUGUUUUGCUCCAUUUUACAGAACAAAAUAAGUGCUGAGGUAGCACCAUCCUUGUGGUUAUAGUGAAAGAAUGUGGGUAUUGAGACCAAAAUAAAUAAUGUCCCAUUCUGGACAAACAGCUGUGGACAAUAUGCAGUCAGAGUAGCCUAUUUUCUCACACAGGUAAAGUAUGCAAAGUAAUACCAAACUUCUUUUUAACCUUAACAAAUACUGGCAAGCCAAAUAUACAAUGUUUAUGUGAGGUACUGUGCAAAUGUCUUAGUUUGCUACCAUUAGAUUUGUUAUUUUUGCAAUUGUAUAGUGAUCAUAUAUAAUUAUUUCUCAGUCUCUUUAUUAGAAUACAACCAGAAAAUACAGGAAAUGUGUAUGUAGUAUUAAAAACAAUAUAAACGUAUAAGCUGAAGUGUCAAGUGUUUAGGGUAAACUCUCCUUUCAGUUGAGCAAUAGCAGGCAACUGCAGGAUCUCAAAUGAAAUUAAAUCCUAAUUUCUCAUUCUAAUCGAAUGACUUCAGGACUUCAGUCCCCUCAAAAAAGCUCAAGAUGUGUUUAGUGCCAAGAGAGGUCACACUAAAUACUGACUGAUGUCUGAAGAAGACAUUUAGUUCUGAAACUGGUUUUGUUUUUAAUUUUGUGUACAUUUUUCCUGUAUUUUCAGUUUGUAUCUUAAUAAAAAGAGUGAAAAAUAAAUAUGGAUGGACAUUAAAACUUUGCUAAAACAACAAAGCUGGUGAUGGUGUCCCAAGACUUUUGCACAGUAAUGUAUAUUGACCAAGAGUUGUAAUGAUUAAAAAAAAAAAAUGCAUGUCGCAGUUCAGUAGGAUAGUAAAUUAUCUGAAAGUGAAAUCAUUAUUGAAGGUGAUAUCAUUGUCACUGCAUUCAUUGUAACAUGAUUUUAAACAGUGGGAAUCAUUGUGUACGUUUCUUAAUAAUAUCAAAUACGACUUUUUUUGUCUUGUUGUUUCUAGACCUGAGGAUAAGAUUUCCAGUUUGAAAGUGAAGAAAAUGAAUCAUUAUUUACAGCAAUUAGUAGUUUUUCAGCUGAGAAGCCAGGUGAAACUAUAAGGGCACUAUGAUUUACUUUCAUAUUAUCAUUCUUUUAUAGAUGAGGAGCAACCAGUAAGAAAAAGCAAAAAGAUGUUUUGAUGUUGCCCGAGGCACCUUAUUCACAUCAGUCAAUUUCUUCCAAUAAUGAAUCAAGAAAUCCUGGAGUGGAGAAUCAUUCUGAAAGUAGACCAAAUACAGGACAACACCACAGCAGUGGUUGGAAAAAUGCAGCAGACAAUGAGCAAGCCAAGCUGACUUUCAAAAGAUGAUUCGUUAUCUGUUUCUUCAAAGGGGAGGCAGUUUGGGAAAUAGGAGGAUGCUACAGUUACAAAGGGCGAAUUUCAGCAGCUCAGUUUCACACUUGCAACUAACAAUGAAUUAUAGUUAGAAGACAACGGACAUAUUUGACAUCGGAGUCCAGCAGACAGCCAGAGACACGCACACACACGGAGCUGAAGCGCGUUUGACUGACGCGUACGGGAGAUCAGGAACGCGCACGGGAGCUUGCGCACGCACACACAAACACGGAGCACAGGAAAUUUACAACUGUUCAAAUAAAAUAAAAGAACUUUGUGGUAAACAAUGUUUAGCGUGUCUGAUUUCAUUGGUGUAAUGAAAUAAAACGACGUGCUGAGGACUUUAGGCGAACGUCCCCUAAAAGUCCCGAAAGUCCGCUGACCGUCCUGCAAACGUCCUUGUGAAAGUCCGGAGGACGUCCUCGCGGACGUCCGCUCGACGUAACAGGGGACCCUACACGAUAACGUCCAGGGGACGUUCGCAGAGGACAUUUAGGGGACGUCCAGGGGACCUUUUUUUGUUAG